rnacentral:rRNA from 1 species
GCAAAAGCUCAAAUUUGAAACCUUCGGGAUUGUAAUUUGAAGAAAAGGCAUUGGAGAAAGCUAACCCAAGUUGCUUGGAAUAGUACGUCAUAGAGGGUGACAACCCCGUCUGGCUAACCGUUCUCCAUGUAUUGCCUUAUCAAAGAGUCGAGUUGUUUGGGAAUGCAGCUCAAAGUGGGUGGUAAACUCCAUCUAAAGCUAAAUACUGGUGAGAGACCGAUAGCGAACAAGUACUGUGAAGGAAAGGUGAAAAGAACUUUGAAAAGAGAGUGAAAUAGUAUGUGAAAUUGUUGAUAGGGAAGGAAAUGAGUGGAGAGUGGUUGAGGUUUCAGCUUACCUUUGGGUAGGUGUAUUGCCAACGCCGAGUCAUUGACAGCGAGACGGCGGUU